UGUGAUGCGCGGCGUCGCGUCCCCAAAUCAAACGCGUGACGACCCCGACCGAGUGUGGUAUAGUCUCGAAGAAGCGAAGACGCGGAUGGUUUCAUGGAAUCCCAAGAACGGCAGCGGGAGGAAAGCCUCUGUUCCCAAUCCACUCCUCUCCGUUCCUCGAUCGAAGCCCUACACCUUUCUCCGAUUCCCGCCUCGCUGGGACUGGCGUUCGUCUGCGCCUCCCUUGUCCUUGUCCGAUCGCAAACCCUCAAACCUCUCUCCACCGCCAUCAAGCUCGCCGACAGCGCCAUCAAGGGCACCGAGGCCCUCCGGCUUCUCCACUCGCCUUCGCCCCAGUCGGUCUUUCUCGCCACCAAGGCCCUCGUGAAGAGCUACAAGGCCUCCAAGUUCCUCCAUCCGUCCAAAUCCCACCCUAAGAUCCCUUCCGUUGUGGCGGCGAGGCUCAAAGCUUGCCUCGGCGCCGUCAGCCUUCUCGGCUACGCGAAAUCCCCAUCCGUCGCGGAUGGUUUGCUGGGGAUAGGGUUCCUGAAAGGUGGAUACAAGGUUUCGAAGAACACUGCCAAGGUUCUUGAAGGGUUCGUGGGUUUUCAAUUGAAUUCGGCGCUCAGAGAUGGCAUCGAUGCGUUGGGACUGCUGGUUAAGGCUGCGACGGUGGGGAGAGAGAUUAAGCGCUGGUUUUCGAUUGAGUGGCGCACGAGGAAUCGGCGCGUCCGUCUCUUUCUGACAGCUGAUUUGAAGCAUGGGGUUCGUUUGAGCUACAAAAGAUUGGAUUUUGAUGGCAUUCGUGGAUGUACAAGAGUUUUCUACUCGGAGCCAUUUCCUUUAUGGGAGGCAGCUGUGAUCGGUGAGAUGGCUGUAGCUUUCCACCCGUCUGAAUUGCUUUGCUUGUCAAUUCCUGUAAAUGAGAAUAGCAAGUGUUGAGGGAAAACUGCCAGAAGUACCAGAUUGUGGAAGCAUGUUUUUGGUAUAAAGGUAAAGUGCAAUGAAUUCUGGUGAUUUUUAGAAAUCUAAUUACAGAUUUCAUAGUAUUUUUUUUUCUUUUCUCCAAACAAGCUAACCUCAAAAUCAUUCUAUAUUGUUGCAGAUAAAUUAUGAUCUCCUAGUUUUUGUGUUCUUUUUAUAUUUUUGUAUCAUAAAUGAGAUGCACAUUUCUAAGCUGUGAGGAUCUGUAUCAUGUGAGACAGAGUCUGAAAUAAGAAGGGUCGGUCUCUGGAACUGUGUGUUGAGCUGCAAUAAAAAUGGUAAAAGUAGGUUCUUACUUCCUCAUCCAUUUCAUGGUUUCUGGAACUCGGUUUUGUCAUCUCUCCAAAUUCAUCAUUCUUUGCAAACCGCCCUCGGACUCUAGGUCGGCUGUCUGCUAGAGUCUUCCUGCAAGCAUACUGCCAAGUGUAUUGCAAUCAAUUUAGGCUGUAUUUCAAUUACUUUCAAAACUGUUAAUUAUACCUUGAUCUUUUUGCUGAAGUUUCUUUGAUUUCUCUUCUUAAUGUAUCUGGUGAUCUUCUCCUUCCUCUCCUCGACAGACAGACGACCUACUUUGAAGGUGGACUCAUCCAUCGUGGAGACGUUGGAAGCUGGCAGGGGUGUUGGGUUGCCACUGUUCCCAGCCAUCAGAUGUUGGCUCCCUCCUCCAAUCACCUUUACAAGGCAAAUGAAACUCUAUUACAUCCUUUUAUGAAAAGGGCAAGCUGGAUCUAUUCUACGGCGAUGCGAUCAACUGAAACAACCUGGUCUUCAAUUCCCAGGUAUGUACCAUCUGCUAUAAUCUAUGGAUUGCGUGGAAUAAUGUAUCAACUGUUCUAGCAUCUGAUAACUUUCUUGUCAAAAGAGCUGCUGAGGAAGCAUAUAGUCAAUGGUCUUAACCCAUUUUUCUUUCACACAGUCACUUUCAAUCAUCGAUUGGCUUGCAUAUAAUAUAGUUGGGAGAAUCCUGCUCUGGGCUAUUAGAGUUGGUAUUACAUUAGUCGCUCAGACCUUCUAUGGAUGCACCAAAGAUCAACUUUUUCUUGUAGAAUAAGAUAUAUUCCACAGUUUGAUGUAACAACUAGGUGAAUCUUAGGGACUCGACUCUUCAAUCAAAAAGAUUGUGGAUAGCUUCUUUUGCCUGGAGGCAGCAGAAAUGCAACCUAAAAAUGGCUUAUAGCUA